AAAAGAAAAAGGGUGAAAAGAACAAAGUUUUGUCCAUCUUUGUUCAUCAUAGCUGAAAGUUAGAGAAGAGAAAGGAGAGGAGAAAGCUCUUGAGUAUUCGGUCAUUAGGAGGAGGAAAAUUGAAGGCAGUUCGUGUGUGGAUCUCGUCAGCAUAUCGUCGCAAACAGGAAAUCCCCAACCAUAGUGGGCUUGGAGCUGUGAGGGAAUUCGAAGUGGCCACCCGUUCUGAAAGUUUGAUUUUCUUCUGGUGAACUGGACAUCCUUUUAAUUACGUUUGAGGUUUUGGGCUUUUAAAUGUAAUAAGGCCGCUUAUUUAUUUUUGAUGGUUUUUAUAUGUUUUAUUAAGAUAGGUAAUAUUUAUAUUUAA